CACAGCCGCGGUAAUACAGAGGGUGCGAGCGUUAAUCGGAUUUACUGGGCGUAAAGCGUGCGUAGGCGGCUUCUUAAGUCGGAUGUGAAAUCCCUGAGCUUAACUUAGGAAUUGCAUUCGAUACUGGGAAGCUAGAGUAUGGGAGAGGAUGGUAGAAUUCCAGGUGUAGCGGUAAAAUGCGUAGAGAUCUGGAGGAAUACCGAUGGCGAAGGCAGCCAUCUGGCCUAAUACUGACGCUGAGGUACGAAAGCAUGGGGAGCAAACAGGAUUAGAUACCCCAGUAGUCCCUGUCUCUUAUACA
rnacentral:rRNA from 1 species